ensembl:lncRNA
CGGGGGGGGGCGAAGAGGAGAGGGGGGGGGACGGACAGCUGAGCCGAUGGGGACACACGGCCGGGAAGCACCGAAAGGGACAGCUGCUUCCUGCCUCUGCCACCCGAACCCAGCGGCCAGCGAGCAAAGCAUUGGCGGGACGGAAACCUAUGGGGGUGACCCCCCCUUUCCACCCCCCCCACCCCAAUUGGUGGCCCUCAUGGCUGCAUGGCAGCAGCAGCUGGGCUGGGGGGUGGGGGGGGGUGAACCCCAACCCCAUCGCUGCAGCUCCCCAGCAUGCAAUCUGAUGGGCAUUGCGUUGGGGGGCAGACUGUGUGCCCCCCACCCUCUCCGUGCCAGCUUUGCGUGUUGUCAGCGUUUCCUUAUGCUGCCGCUCGUGAGGGGCCUCAUUAACAUAUCUAAUUGCCGCCUCUCUAUAGUGAUUUGUGCUGAUUGCUUAUUGGCAUUAGUUACUUUGGAAGGAAAAUUACCCUAAACAUCAAAUAAACCCCGGCAUUAGCCGUAUGGAAAGGGACACCAUGGAGAUAUGGGGAUGGCACCCCCAACCCCCCCCCUUAAGUGUGCUUUGGGGUAACAUACCCACCUCGGUGCCACCGCCAUGGGGAACCCCAUGUCCCGGUUUUGGGACCCACCCCCCCCAUUGUAACCCAUUAUGGUGGUGGCACCCGUGGGGAGGGGAGGCUCUGGGUUGCGAUGG